ACAAAAUUCGUAGGUGCUCGAGUUGUGCCAAAUAAUGAACAGACUCCAGAGCGCUGUUGCCGUUAACAGCGAGGCGCUGUUGCCAUUAACAGCGAGGCGCUGUUGCCAUUAACAGCGAGGCGCUGUUGCCGUUAACAGAGCUCGCUUUGCGCUCUGUUCGCCUUGAGGAGAAGGGAAAAGAGUUUGGUGGACGUGAAGUUGUGAAUGGGCUUUAAGGGGAUAAGGUGUUUCGUUUCGUAAUUGUAAUUGUA